rnacentral:lncRNA from 1 species
UUGAAAUAAGAGGUCAUUUUUCAGUGAAGUCUGCAUGGGAUUACCUGCGAAGAAGAGACAACCCAUGAUUAGGUUGCAGGAUGAUAUGGGUCAAAGGCUUACCUUUCAAGUUAUCUUUCUUCCUGUGGAAGGUGUGGAAAGCCAAACUGCCACUUGAUGAUUUCUUGCGUAAAAUAGGAUACUCCAUGCCAUCAAAAUGUUGGUAUUGUGCUGAUCCUAAGGAGGAGUCAUUAGUACAUUUGUUCUUCACAUCCAAUGCAGCUAGGAGUGUUUGGAAUUACUUCCUGAGGAGAGUAGGAAUUGCAUUAGAAGGAUUAUCAUUACAACAAGCAAUUACAAAGUGUUGGAAAGCACCAGUUGUUCCCAGAUUGAAGCCAGUCUUACAAGC